rnacentral:rRNA from 1 species
CCUACGGGUGGCAGCAGUGAGGAAUAUUGGUCAAUGGGCGGAAGCCUGAACCAGCCAAGUAGCGUGCAGGAUGACGGUCCUACGGGUUGUAAACUUCUUUUAUCCGGGAAUAAAGCGCCUCACGUGUACGUCUUUGCAUGUACCGUAUGAAUAAGGACCGGCUAAGUCCGUGCCAGCAGCCGCGGUAAUACGGAAGGUCCGGGCGUUAUCCGGAUUUCUUGGGUUUAAAGGGAGCGUAGGCCGCAUGUUAAGCGUGCUGUGAAAGGCCCGGGCUCAACCCGGGCCUUGCAGCGCGACCGGGCGGGCUUGAGUGCGCGGAAGGCAGGCGGAAUUCGUAGUGUAGCGGUGAAAUGCUUAGAUAUGACGAAGAACCCCGAUUGCGAAGGCAGCUUGCUGCAGCGGAACUGACGCUGAGGCACGAAAGCGCGGGUAUCGAACAGGAUUAGAUACCCUUGUAGUC